AGAGCCGGCAGCUCCAGAGGCAGAGCAGACGUCAGCUUCCUGCCGGCGAUCGACGCGCGGCGGCCGCGGCGGCGUGAUGGAUGGCGGCUCCUGAACGCUGAGUCACUCCACGCACUCCCAGCAUGCAGCUGUGCGAUGCUGCUUCUUCAUCUGCCGUCGGAGUCCUCAGACGUCCCCGGAUGCUCCACGGUGGAGAUGAAGGUCCAGCUCUUACAGAGCUUCAUCAUCUGUCCAAAGAGCUGGGAGACUGUGUUAUUAAUCAGCGCCGCAUCUCAGCAUCUCUCCCCUCUCUCGUCUCCUCCGGGAGGAAUUGUCUCACUUUAAGAUUCCGCCGUUUGAAGUCCUCCUGCACCGGCUGAAUUAAAAGGAAAACCAAGGCGUGGAGAAUGGGAGCGUGUGGCUCCUUUUUAGCUUCGACUCACCUACUCGCACAAGUGGGAAAAACCUGGAGGUUUAUAGGUGUGGACAUUAAAAAAGGAGUCACUGCACAAAGCGUGCGGCGGAUUCCUCCCGAUGCACUCGGCCGCAGCACUUGUGUUAUUGUUGUAGCUGGAUCUCCUCCGCACAGCGGCUAAGUAUAAUCUGCUCCUGCAGCGACAGCAGCCGCCCGUGCUUAUUUUCAGCGGCCGCGGUGAAUGCUCGGGUCCUGACGGCACAGCCUGGAUCUGUUUGUUGUGACAGGCAGAAACAGGCCUGCUUUGACACGCGAGGCUGCAGCACUAAUUACAUUUAUGGCACUCGGUCUGUUUAUAUUUGCACAUGGAAAAUGUGCGUCCGAACAUUUUAAUAUUAACCUUAGAUGCGUCUAACUUCAUAUUUUAUUCAUAUAAACUAUAGACUUUACCUACAAUACUGUUCUUUUCCUUAGAGGGGACAUUUUCAGGUUUUGCAUGCGCUCACCGGUGGAGUGGGAACCUUGGAGGCGGACAGGUUCGAUCCUGUAUAUUGUGGAAAAGCGUGUGUGAAAAUGAUACGACAGACAGGAAGCGCAGCAGCAGCAGCUGCUGGACGCGUCCACGCCGGCGUCCGACGCUCAGGAAGCAGAGGAGGCACCUGCAGAUGCCGUUUCUUACGGCCGGGGGCCGUCGAGCUUAACGACGACGUGGGACGACCUGGAUUCUGGCUCACGACCUCGGCCGCAGCUAAAGCGGCGGCUCCAGAUGUGCCAGAUGUUGUUGCUCUGACGACUCUCGUGACUAAGCGGUUUUGACUGCGGCGCGGAACUUGGGUGGUGGCGUUUAAUCCCACACAAUAUGGUCUUAAAGUGAUUUCAGACGCAUCCAUCAAACGCUUGCUGUGUUUCUUCUGGACUGAUGCAGCAGCGGCUAAAUAAUGAGCAGAUUCUCAAUUCGAAAUGUCAUUCUUAUGAAAUCAGACAUUUUUCUCAUUAGCUUGGAGGUCAUCUGUAAAGCAGGUGAUAUUCUACUAAUUUAUACAUAAAUGUCGGAGACAUCAAAUAGGUGGUUGGACCUCGUGAUGAAUAAAGUUUUGUCCAUAGCGAUGACGCCACAGGAUGAUGAAACACUCAAAGGCCUGUUGUAACUGCACGUUUGCUAAUGAGCUGUGGUCCCAUUAGAUCUGGAACAGUAUUACUCAUCAGUCUUCAGAUUCAAAUAAAAAACUUAAGAGAGGCAGGUUUUUUUCAGUGAGGCUAGAGGUCAGAGAAGGACACGAGGACGAGCCGCCGCUGCGUGUCUGGUGCAUGAACGCUGGAGGAACUGGGUGCAGACCUCAUCUAUUAGUCACGAGCUGCAGUUUGGACUUGAGCGCACGCACGCUCGCUGCCUCUCCCUGCUUUUGUCUGGAUUCCACCUGGCUUUGCCCAACAGCAGGAGGGAGAGUCGCCUCCCACACUGCGGGAGGUGCCUUCGCUUUCAGCUCAGUCUGUGCUUUGAAGAUGAAACGUGGAGCUGAUCUCAAUCAUUUUGGGGAUUUUAUAUCUAUCCUUUCACAUUUAUGGGGCGGGAGGUGGUGGAGAUUCAUAUGGCUUGAAACCUUACACAUAUAUAGGAGCUGUGAUGCUAAGCUGAUUUUAAAUUCAUUCAGAGUCCAUCAUAACUAACACUGUUUUACUGACCUGCAGCGUGAAAAUAAAUCACAUUAUAAAAGACGA